UACGUAGGUGGCAAGCGUUGUCCGGAUUUACUGGGCGUAAAGAGCGCGCAGGCGGUCGUUCAAGUCGCGUGUGAAAGCCCCCGGCUCAACUGGGGAGGGUCACGCGAUACUGAUCGACUCGAAGGCAGGAGAGGGAAGUGGAAUUCCCGGUGUAGUGGUGAAAUGCGUAGAUAUCGGGAGGAACACCAGUGGCGAAGGCGACUUCCUGGCCUGUUCUUGACGCUGAGGCGCGAAGGCUAGGGGAGCAAACGGG
rnacentral:rRNA from 1 species